rnacentral:rRNA from 1 species
UUAAAUUGAAGAGUUUGAUCAUGGCUCAGAUUGAACGCUGGCGGCAGGCCUAACACAUGCAAGUCGAACGGUAACAGGAAGACGCUUGCUUCUUUGCUGACGCGUGGCGGACGGGUGAGUAAUGUCUGGGAAACUGCCUGAUGGAGGGGGAUAACUCCUGGAAACGGUAGCUAAUACCGCAUAACGUCGCAAGACCAAAGAGGGGGACCUUCGGGCCUCUUGCCAUCGGAUGUGCCCAGAUGGG